GCCCAGAAAGGAGCAGCUCAGCCCUGGGCUCCGCACAGUAAAAUCCAAUUAUGUACAGAGAACCAGAAGUGUCUGUGGGCAAGGAGGGAGGGAAAGAGGAGAGUUCAGGCAGAGACAGUGCCUGGUCCACUGAGACCUCACGCCCCAAGGGAUGGGAUCUUGGUCCCUGCUGAGUCCUCAGCCCUGGGCUCCUAUCUGCCUGUCCCGUCAGGUCCUUGGCCCUGGGCUUGCUCAGGAGUUCAGCAGUUACCUACUGAGCUCCCCUGAGUGCCAGCCUCUGUGCUAAGCAGCUCAAAUCCACCAUUUCAUUUUCUCCUCCCAGCAGAUCUAGAAGACCACACCCCUGGGACUGGAAUUGGACAGUGAUCUUCAUCCAGGCUCCCCAGCCACACAGGGCCACAUCCAGAGAGCCCCCAGGUGGAAGGGCAGCCAGCACCCCUGUUCUCUGGCCUUGGACCUUACUGGCACCACGAUACCCCUGUCACACCGUGGACCAGAUCCACGAAUGUCAGAUGAUGAGAGAAGGGGGAAAUGAUCUACAAACUUCAAAUCCAGUUUACAGAUGCAAAACCUGAAGCCCAGAGAGGAGAGAAGGCUUGCCCAAGUGCCUGCUAUGAAGAAAAAGACUUUACGAUGUCCCUUUCAGACAGAGGGGGGGUCCACUGUAUUAUCAUCUCCAUUUGACAGAAGAGGAAAUAGAAUUUGGACGAAGUGACUUGUCCAGUCUCUUAAGUGGUGCCAUCAGGAUUCAAGGUCUGACUCCUGGCCCUACUUUUAAUGCAAGAAAGCCAAAUCCUUGGAGAAACCAAUAAAACAACGUGGUUUUUUUUAA
ensembl:lncRNA